AGGACGAACGCUGGCGGCGUGCCUAACACAUGCAAGUCGAACGAGGUCCAUCCUUCGGGAGAAGACCUAGUGGCGAACGGGUGAGUAACACGUGAAGAACCUGCCCCGAAGACCGGGAUAACCCUCCGAAAGGAGAGCUAAUACCGGAUACCCCCACCGAACCGCAUGGUUUGGUGAGGAAAUGGAUUCCGCUUCGGGAGGGCUUCGCGGCCUAUCAGCUAGUUGGUGGGGUAACGGCCCACCAAGGGCAUCGACGGGUAGCUGGUCUGAGAGGACGAUCAGCCACACUGGGACUGAGACACGGCCCAGACUCCUACGGGAGGCAGCAGUGGGGAAUCUUGCGCAAUGGGCGAAAGCCUGACGCAGCAACGCCGCGUGGGGGAUGAAGGCUCUCGGGUUGUAAACCCCUUUCAGCAGGGACGAAUCAAGACGGUACCUGCAGAAGAAGCCCCGGCUAACUACGUG
rnacentral:rRNA from 1 species